CCUACGGGUGGCAGCAGUGAGGAAUAUUGGUCAAUGGACGCAAGUCUGAACCAGCCAUGCCGCGUGCAGGAAGAUGGCUCUAUGAGUUGUAAACUGCUUUUGUACGAGGGUAAACGCAGAUACGCGUAUCUGUCUGAAAGUAUCUUACUAAUAAGGAUCGGCUAACUCCGUGCCAGCCGCCGCGGUAAUACGGAGGAUUCAAGCGUUAUCCGGAUUUAUUUGGUUGAAAGGGUGCGUAGGCGGUCGGAUAAGUUAGAGGUGAAAUCCCGAGGCUCAACUUCGGAAUUGCCUCUGAUACUGUUCGGCUAGAGAGUAGUUGAGGUAGGCGGAAUGUAUGGUGUAGCGGUGAAAUGCUUAGAGAGCAUACAGAACACCGAUUGCGAAGGCAGCUUACCAAGCUACUUCUGACGUUGAGGCACGAAAGCGUGGGGAGCAAACAGGAUUAGAUACCCCUGUAGUC
rnacentral:rRNA from 1 species